rnacentral:lncRNA from 1 species
CAAUAAUUCACUGAAUAGGUGCAAUGAAUAUAAGUUCUUGAAUUGUUCGCUAAUUCAAGUAAUAAAAGUUACCGAAGGGCCGGGGAUUUAGCUCAGUGGUUUCAUCGCCGGCUGCGUAAGCUCAAGGACCCAAGUUUGAUCCCCGGUACCAAAAAAAAAAAAAAAAAAAAAAAAGACACUGAAGCAGAAGAUUUCAAUUUAUGGUUAAUUUACAUAAAAUGUUGACAGAUGGAGUGAAUAUACAGUGAACCCUCAAGUUACGACCGGCCUGACAUAUGAACAACUUGGGUUAUGAACAGAAUGAUAGUUUUUAACUUGCGACCAAGUCUUGAGCCAGCUGCUUCUGUUUCCAGAUGGUGUCAGAUACAGAUGUAACCCUUAAAGAGUCUGGAAGGAACAUGGGAACAUCCUUUCCUGUGUAGGGUUAACUGAGAAAUCCUGGGCUGAUGUCUCUCUAAGGACACUGAGAUCCGCCUGUGUACAGGAGAGAGACUCUGCAGGCUGCGGAGAGGAGGCUGACCCUUCAGUGACCAACCUGAGUUACAACCAGUCUUCUCCAAUGAAUUGAGUUUGUAUGUCAAGGAUCCACUUUAAUCAUAACACACCACGGUGACAGCAAAGCCAAACUGGUUCGUGCAUGUCUGAUUCAGCAUAUUAAUUACAGCAUAAGAAAAUUGAAGCCUGGCAUGGUGGCACACUCCUGAUAUCCCAGCACUCAGGAGGCUGAGGCAGGAGGAUGGCUGUGAGAUCAAGGCCAGCCUGAGCUACAUAGUGAGUUUAAGGUCAGCCUGGACUAUAUAGUAAAACCAUGUCUCCAAGACAAACAAAUACGAGAGAGAGAAAAGGAUAUCCCUAGAGAAGCAGAUGAGAGUUAAAAAUCUUCCUUUGGUUGGUUGUUCUGCUAUUUUACUAUGGGUGCAAAUUUUGAAGAAUAUAGGCAGUAUGUCUGUGAUUGUACAGUUGCAGAGAAAUGUAUUACCACAUCGUCUAGAGAUCUGCUUUUCCAAAUCUGGUACUUACACAUGAUGGAGUACUACUCUGCCAGAAAGAAGGAUAAACUUGAGUCUUUUGUAGGGAA